GAAGGUGACCUGUGAGGGUUGCUGGAGGUAUCAGAAGUGCGAAUGCUGACAUAAGUAACGAUAAAGCGGGUGAAAAGCCCGCUCGCCGGAAGACCAAGGGUUCCUGUCCAACGUUAAUCGGGGCAGGGUGAGUCGACCCCUAAGGCGAGGCCGAAAGGCGUAGUCGAUGGGAAACGGGUUAAUAUUCCCGUACUUGGUGUUACUGCGAAGGGGGGGACGGAGAAGGCUAUGUUGGCCGGGCGACGGUUGUCCCGGUUUAAGCGUGUAGGUGUGUGUUCCAGGUAAAUCCGGUUCACUUUAACACUGAGGCGUGAUGACGAGGCACUACGGUGCUGAAGCAACAAAUGCCCUGCUUCCAGGAAAAGCCUCUAAGCAUCAGGUAACAUCAAAUCGUACCCCAAACCGACACAGGUGGUCAGGUAGAGAAUACCAAGGCGCUUGAGAGAACUCGGGUGAAGGAACUAGGCAAAAUGGUGCCGUAACUUCGGGAGAAGGCACGCUGACACGUAGGUGAAGUGAUUUACUCACGGAGCUGAAGUCAGUCGAAGAUACCAGCUGGCUGCAACUGUUUAUUAAAAACACAGCACUGUGCAAACACGAAAGUGGACGUAUACGGUGUGACGCCUGCCCGGUGCCGGAAGGUUAAUUGAUGGGGUCAGCGCAAGCGAAGCUCCUGAUCGAAGCCCCGGUAAACGGCGGCCGUAACUAUAACGGUCCUAAGGUAGCGAAAUUCCUUGUCGGGUAAGUUCCGACCUGCACGAAUGGCGUAAUGAUGGCCAGGCUGUCUCCACCCGAGACUCAGUGAAAUUGAACUCGCUGUGAAGAUGCAGUGUACCCGCGGCAAGACGGAAAGACCCCGUGAACCUUUACUAUAGCUUGACACUGAACAUUGAGCCUUGAUGUGUAGGAUAGGUGGGAGGCUUUGAAGUGUGGACGCCAGUCUGCAUGGAGCCGACCUUGAAAUACCACCCUUUAAUGUUUGAUGUUCUAACGUGGACCCGUAAUCCGGGUUGCGGACAGUGUCUGGUGGGUAGUUUGACUGGGGCGGUCUCCUCCUAAAGAGUAACGGAGGAGCACGAAGGUUGGCUAAUCCUGGUCGGACAUCAGGAGGUUAGUGCAAUGGCAUAAGCCAGCUUGACUGCGAGCGUGACGGCGCGAGCAGGUGCGAAAGCAGGUCAUAGUGAUCCGGUGGUUCUGAAUGGAAGGGCCAUCGCUCAACGGAUAAAAGGUACUCCGGGGAUAACAGGCUGAUACCGCCCAAGAGUUCAUAUCGACGGCGGUGUUUGGCACCUCGAUGUCGGCUCAUCACAUCCUGGGGCUGAAGUAGGUCCCAAGGGUAUGGCUGUUCGCCAUUUAAAGUGGUACGCGAGCUGGGUUUAGAACGUCGUGAGACAGUUCGGUCCCUAUCUGCCGUGGGCGCUGGAGAACUGAGGGGGGCUGCUCCUAGUACGAGAGGACCGGAGUGGACGCAUCACUGGUGUUCGGGUUGUCAUGCCAAUGGCACUGCCCGGUAGCUAAAUGCGGAAGAGAUAAGUGCUGAAAGCAUCUAAGCACGAAACUUGCCCCGA
rnacentral:rRNA from 1 species